rnacentral:rRNA from 1 species
GGGGGGAUUCAUGUGUGGGGGACUGUGCCAGGGAGGGGGAGAUUUCUUGUGGACGCUAACUCUUACCCCCUACUGCGGCACAAGCCAAAAGGGGGAUCCUCUGGGCUCUUUUGCUCUCAAGUGCCCCCAUGGGAUUUUAUCUUUGGGGAGAUAAUGGGUCCCACAAGAGAAAAUACCUAUCUGGUGUGAGAGGAAAACACCCCCCACUGGAAAAGAGACACGGCCCCCACUCCCACGGGGGGGGCCAGUGGGGAAAAUUUCGCAAUGGGGACACCCCCCAGACACCCCCGCCCCGCGUGUGUAAAAAGCCUUCUGGUUGUGUAGUACUUUCUCCGGGGAGGAAAGCGAUAUAGUUUUUAACCCCGUUGAUAGUCUUUUCCCCCAAAAAAAACACCGGCGAACUCUCCGUCCGCACCCCCGGUAUUAUGGAGGGGGCGCGCGUUUAUCUUAAUUUCUGGGGGUAUAGCGCACGCCCGCGGUCUGUCUCAUCUGAUAUGAAAACUCCCCGCUCUCACUGUGAACUGUGCUCUCAACUGGGGCGCUUGAGUCUUGUGGAGAGGGGUAUAAAAUUCCGUGUGUCGGGGAGAUGUGCAUAGAUCUCUAGAAAAAUAGGUGGCGCAAGGCGGCCCCCCCUACAUCAGAAAUAGUCACGUCUCAGGUGCGAAAGCGUGGGGAGCGCAAACAUAGCUAUAGACUGCUUAGAUAGUCCGCUCCGUCAUACGAUAUCUAGACUUGUAGGUUGUUCGCCUUAGAUGCGGGGUUCUCCGGAGAUAAAAGAGUUAAGUCUAGACCGCCUGGGGAGUAGGAGAGUACGAAGAGUAUAAAACUCAAAUGUAAAAGGCGGGGGCCCGCACAAGCGGUAGAGCAUGUGGUUUAAUUUUAUUCAAAGGGAAGAACCUUACCCGUUCUUGACAUCCACAGAUUUGGGCUCAGAUACCUUUGUGCGUUUGGGAGAAAUAAAACAGGUGCACAGCGGCUGUAUUCAGCUCUCAGUUGAAAUGUUGGGAUAAGUCCCGCAACGAACGCAACCCUUAUCCUUUGGUGCCAGCGAUCCGGCAAGGAAAUCAAAGGGGGAUGCCAGGGGUAAAACGGGAGAAGGGGGGGGAGGACUCAAAUUCUUCAGGCCCUUACGAGCAGGGGUACACACGUCAUACAAUGGCAGGUACAAAGGAAGCCACCUCGCGAGGGGGAGCGGAUCUCAUAAAGUAUGUCGUAGUCCGGAUUGCAGUCUGCAACUCGACUCCAUGAAGUCGGAAUCGCUAGUAAUCGUGGAUCAGAAUGCCACGGUGAAUACGUUCCCGGGCCUUGUACACACCGCCCGUCACACCAUGGGAGUGGGUCUCAAAAGAAGUAGUUAGCUUAACAUCAAGGAGGACGCGCGGCCAGUAGGAUUGACAG